rnacentral:rRNA from 1 species
UUGCCAGACUCCUACGGGAGGCAGCAGUGAGGAAUAUUGGUCAAUGGGCGAUAGCCUGAACCAGCCAAGUCGCGUGAGGGAAGACGGCCCUAUGGGUUGUAAACCUCUUUUGUCGGGGAGCAAGGUCGCUACGUGUAGUGAUUUGAGAGUACCCGAAGAAAAAGCAUCGGCUAACUCCGUGCCAGCAGCCGCGGUAAUACGGAGGAUGCGAGCGUUAUCCGGAUUUAUUGGGUUUAAAGGGUGCGUAGGCGGACGCUUAAGUCAGCGGUAAAAUUGCGGGGCUCAACCUCGUCGAGCCGUUGAAACUGGGUGCCUUGAGUGGGCGAGAAGUACGCGGAAUGCGUGGUGUAGCGGUGAAAUGCAUAGAUAUCACGCAGAACUCCGAUUGCGAAGGCAGCGUACCGGCGCCCAACUGACGCUGAAGCACGAAGGCGUGGGUAUCGAACAGGAUUAGAUACCCUAGUA